rnacentral:tRNA from 1 species
UGGCUCAGAGGUUAGAGCAUCUACCUGCAAUGUGGGAGACCUGGGUUCAAUCCCUG